GACGUUAGCUGCAGAAGAAGCACCGGCUAAACUCCGUGCCAGCAGCCGCGGUAAUACGGAGGGUGCGAGACGUUAAUCGGAAGUUACUGGGCGUAAAGCGCAUGCAGGUGGUUUGUUAAGUCAGAUCGUGAAAAGCCCCGGGGCUCAACCUCCGGAAUUGCAUUUGAAACUGGCAGACUAGAGUACUGUAGAGGGGGUAGAAUUUCAGGUGUAGCGGUCGAAAUGCGUAGAGAUCUGAAGGAAUACCGGUGGCGAAGGCGGCCCCCUGGACAGAUACUGACACUCAGACUGCGAAAGCGUGGGGAGCCAAACAGGAUUAGAUACCCUGGUAG
rnacentral:rRNA from 1 species